rnacentral:lncRNA from 1 species
AAUUACGGUGUUCAAUUUCAGUGGAAUAUUUUGCAGCCAUUAAAAUGUUAAUUAUGAAGUGUAGGAAAAACAUGAAAAUUUUUAUAUAGAGAGAAAAUGUCAAGUUGUAUGUAAACUAUGAUAAGCAAUUAGCUGAGCCAGGUUCUGUGGCAGGCAAUGGAGGUAGGCUACAUCUGUGACCAAAACAAAUGCAAUUUCUGCCUCUAAGGACAACCAUUUCAUCUUUCCAAAAGCUUGUUGAGAUUAUAUGCCAGACUAACCUAUAUGCCACCCUCAGGCUUUCCACCUUAGUCCCUAAGACAGGCAUGGUUUAUCUAU